CCAAAAUGCCCAUAGUUUUGAAUAAGCAAUCCGUGUUAAGGCAAAAAUGAAGAUGAUUGAAGAAACCCACAACGCACAGGCGGCCGAGGCCCCGAGAAAGUUGCCCCAACGCCACACCAAGAACACACAGAUAGCAGAGGCUCAGCUCAAGGGUUUCUUUCAAAUGGGGUGUAAAAGGAAGUGUAGGAGAUAAGCACGCCAUCUGAAAACGAAAGCAAGAACGACAGAAUCGAAAAGGAAAACAAAACCCAUCUCAUUUUUGAGGUACCCUUUGAUGUGUCCUUUAUCCUGAACAACCUUCCAAGCAAAGCUAGCUGGCCAUACGAGUCCGUACAAUGAUUGUCUCUUGAGUUCCUUUCUUUUCUUUUCUUUCCUAUGGAGAAAUGCUUGGUUCCCAUUUCCUCUUUGUUGGGAGUUUCUUAGCCAUUGAUAUCUUAGCAACAACAGUUUGAGAAUGGUGUUAUUACAAUCACAAAGCCUUGCAGGUUGGAAGAAACGGACACGAGAAUCUUCAACUUUAUGGAGAAGAGAAGAAUCACACCGCCCCAAUCGAGAAGAAUCGCGCUCGUGGGCGUGGCCCAGGGAUUCUACUCUUCUUUCACUGGUUUGUCCCUAUGAAUGAUCGUCGACCGAGUAACGAACGAAGUCGACCAUUUUUUGUUGCAGUCUUUUACCCAUUUGGUACUAUGCAUAGUUAUGAUGGGGUAGAAAUCUUUGAAUCUUAUCUUUUGAUUACUUCAUAUAAUCUAUUGAUUUAGUCUAUCAAAUUUAGAGCAAUAAUUUGAUUUA